GUGUAUUUCCGGUUCCGGGAGCAACGAACGGCCGCGGCGGCGACAGCUACCGCUUGAGAGGAAGAGGCUGCAGAGGAGGAAGAAGAAGAGCAGGGCAAGGCGGGAGUUACAGGCGGGACCGUUGUCAUGGGUCUGCGGACCUAGAGCGGCGGGAGCUACUGGCCCAGUGCCGAACUGGCUGCUGCUGCUUCCUGUGGCCCCAAUGGCUGAGGACUGGCUGGACUGCCCAGCCCUGGGCCCUGGCUGGAAGCGCCGUGAGGUCUUUCGCAAGUCAGGUGCCACCUGCGGACGCUCAGACACCUAUUACCAGAGCCCCACAGGAGACAGGAUCCGAAGCAAAGUAGAGCUGACCCGAUACCUAGGCCCUGCGUGUGACCUGACCCUCUUCGACUUCAAACAAGGCGUCCUGUGCUAUCCAGCCCCCAAGGCCCAUUCCUUGGCUGCCCCCAGCAGGAAGCAGAAGAAGCCUUCAAGGCCAGCCAAGGCUCAGAAACGUCUGGUUGGACCUCAGAGGAAUGAGGUCAGGAAGGAGGCCCCAGGGGAUGAGACGAAGGCUGACACUGAUACAGCCCCAUCUUCGCUCCCUGCACCUGGGUGCUGUGAGAAUUGUGGAAUCAGUUUCUCAGGGGAUGGUAUCCGAAGGCAGCGGCUCAAGACAUUGUGCAAGGACUGCCGAGCGCAGAGAAUUGCCUUCAACCGGGAGCAGAGGAUGUUUAAGCGAGUGGGCUGCGGGGAGUGUGCAGCCUGUCGGGUAACGGAGGACUGCGGGGCCUGCUCCACCUGCCUUCUGCAGCUGCCCCAAGACGUGGCCUCAGGGCUAUUCUGCAAGUGUGAGCGGAGACGGUGCCUCCGAAUUGUGGAAAGGAGCCGAGGGUGUGGAGUGUGCCGGGGCUGUCAAACCCGAGAGGACUGUGGCCGCUGCCGAGUCUGCCUUCGCCCUCCCCGCCCUGGUCUCAGGCGCCAGUGGAGGUGCGUCCAGCGGCGCUGCCUACGGCACCUUGCCCACCGCCUCCGUCGCCACCAUCAGCGAUGUCAACGACGCCCUCCCCUAGCUGUGGCUCCCCCUGCUGGUAAACAUGGCCGCCGCAGGGGAGGCUGCGACUCCAAGAUGGCUGCCCAGCGGCGGCGCCCUCGAACCCAGCCGCUGCCUCCACCUCCCCCAUCUCAGCCUCCAGAAUCCCCAGAGCUGCACCCCAGAGCCCUGGCCCCCUCGCCACCUGCUGAGUUCAUCUAUUACUGUGUAGACGAGGACGAGCUACAGCCUUACACGAAUCGCCGACAGAACCGCAAGUGUGGGGCCUGUGCAGCCUGCCUUCGGCGGAUGGACUGUGGCCACUGCGACUUCUGCUGUGACAAGCCCAAAUUUGGGGGCAGCAACCAGAAGCGCCAGAAGUGUCGUUGGCGCCAAUGCCUGCAGUUUGCCAUGAAGCGGCUGCUGCCAAGUGUCCGGGCAGGGUCCGAGGAUGGAGCAGGGUCGCCCCCACCUUACACUCGUCGAAAGAGGCCUGGCUCUACUCGACGGCCCCGUCCGAAGCCCCCCUCAGCCACACCCACAGCCCGACCAGACCGUGCCCAGGUUCCAAUGAAGCAGGAAGCAGGCAGUGGCUUUGUACUGCCCCCACCUGGCACCGACCUUGUGUUCUUACGGGAGGGUGCGAGCAGUCCCGUGCAGGUGCCUGGCCCUGCCCCAGCUUCCACAGAAGCCUUGUUGCAGGAGGCCCAGUGCCCUGGCCUGAGUUGGGUUGUGGCCUUACCCCAGGUGAAGCAAGAGAAGGCGGAUGCCCAAGAAGACUGGACACCGGGCACAGCCAUCCUGACUUCUCCUGUAUUGCUGCCUGGCUGCCCCAGCAAGGCAGUAGACCCAGGCCUGCCACCUGUGAAGCAAGAGCCACCUGACCCUGAGGAGGACAAGGGGAAGGAGAGCAAAGAUGACUCCACCUCUCACUCCGCCCCAGAGGAGGCAGGAGGGGCUGGCACACCUGUGAUCACGGAGAUUUUCAGCCUGGGUGGAACCCGCCUCCGGGACACAGCAGUCUGGUUGCCAAGGUGUGCCCCGCACAGUGAGAGUCUGCAGGGCAGGCAUUCGGGAAGGGAAGAUGGAUAUAAAGUGUGGGAGACCGAGGACACAUUGGCGCUCACGAGCAGGAGCUGGAACCCACGAGGAUGGCCUGGAACCCAUGUCAGUCUCUCACCACCUCCAGCUUCGAUGAUGUGGGUGUCCUGCAGAAGAAGCUGGUGCCCUUCAUCACAGAGUUAAAUAUGCAUCUGACCCAGGAAUUAGAGAAGCUGAAGGAAGAUUCCGGGGAAGGUGGAGCAGCUGCAGGCCUGGCUGCAGGCCUGCCUGCUGCCCCACACCAACGAGGUGAGCCAGCAGAUACAUGACAACAUGUGUGAACUGCAACAGUGCCUGGUGCCCCUGCACCAACCUUCCAAGUGUAAAAACAAUAUGCUGCUGCUUCACUUCUGCCCUCCAGUUAUCACGCAAAUGUCUCUGGUGGCCCAUCCUAACUGGAAGCAUACGGGGAAGGGAGUUCUGGGAGACGUAGCCUAGUCAAGGUGAUACAUUACAAAGCCACCCUGCCAUGAAUCAGCUCCCAAGGGUCUCACUACUCACCUGAGGAUAACUUGAUAAAGCUACGUUGCUGAAAAUGCAAAGCUGAAGACCAUGGAUUUCAUGGUGACCCCAGCAAGUACAGAAAUUCUGUCAAGCCCACCCAGAAAAAACUUGCUGGUCUCGGCUAUUUUUGUGUGGUUCAUUCAAGUAUUGAGAACCUGGCCCAUGGUAGGCACUGUACUUAAUACUGGGAUACAGGAAUGAGAAAGAUAUAGCCCAUACAAUUUUAUUAAAUGCAUCAAUAUGUAUUACAAAUGGUGAAUGGAGUUCCAACUUUAUCAUGGAAUUUAAUGGUGAAAAUAUAGAAUUCAGGAAACUAUCAGGAGGACAGCCUUUGCGUGAACCUUGUUGGGGCACAAUAGGAAUUGGAAGUAAUGUGGUUUCUAUCCCUAAGCUGUUGUAUUUUUAAAUUAUUUUUAAAUGAUUUUUAUUGUCCCGUUUGCUGAUUCAUAUACUUAGUUGUUUCUUUUGGGAGUGUCUUGAUGGUGGUAACAGUGUUGACUGCCACUGAGAAAGUGGGAUAGUGGGUAGCAAGAUCAAGGUCAGGUUCUGUCCAAGGACCUUGGGCGAAUCUCUUCUCUAGGCCGCCGAAGGGAUUUGGCUAAAGGCCAGGGCUUACCGCACCGGGGGGCCGGGCCGGCCCCUCCGACCUCCGAAUAGGCUCGCCAGGGGGCGCCGGGGCCGCGGUCCUCCCACUGGGGUCUGGAGACAGCUGUCCCCCAGCCCUGGCCUGGGCGGCCCUGGGGCGUGGCCUCUGCUCGCCGUUUCCCUGGGCCAUCCCAGAGGGAAGCCGACUCCCCUUCAAAUAGUGGUAAAGCCGGCAAAACCCAAUCGGAGUUAAAUUAUCGGGCUCGCCCAGGGUGAGGGCGCGGCGCGACGAGCUCGGGACCAACGCUAGGACGUUCGAGGGCAGCCGGGUGUGGCCUAGGGUCGGCUUCCCCCGCGCCGAAAACUUCGACGGGACUCUCCAGGCUGUACGACCUCGGGGGGUGCCCGACCGGCGUCCCUGAAUCUCGGCGGCUUCGCCCAAACCCCGCGGCUGGCGCUACGUAAACUCUUAGCAGUAAAUGAAAAUGAGUAUUUUACCGAACUGCAAUUGAAAGAAGAAGCAUUAUAGGAGAAAAAAGACAAAAUGAUAAUUAUUAAAAGAUUAUUGAAAGAGAA